rnacentral:rRNA from 1 species
GACGAACGCUGGCGGCGUGCUUAACACAUGCAAGUCGAACGGAAAGGCCCUGCUUUUGUGGGGUGCUCGAGUGGCGAACGGGUGAGUAACACGUGAGUAACCUGCCCUUGACUUUGGGAUAACUUCAGGAAACUGGGGCUAAUACCGGAUAGGAGCUCCUGCUGCAUGGUGGGGGUUGGAAAGUUUCGGCGGUUGGGGAUGGACUCGCGGCUUAUCAGCUUGUUGGUGGGGUAGUGGCUUACCAAGGCUUUGACGGGUAGCCGGCCUGAGAGGGUGACCGGCCACAUUGGGACUGAGAUACGGCACAGACUCCUACGGGAGGCAGCAGUGGGGAAUAUUGCACAAUGGGCGGAAGCCUGAUGCAGCAACGCCGCGUGCGGGAUGACGGCCUUCGGGUUGUAAACCGCUUUCGCCUGAGACGAAGCGUGAGUGACGGUAAUGGGUAAAGAAGCACCGGCUAACUACGUG